rfam:TPA: Bos taurus chromosome 19, whole genome shotgun sequence.
GGCUCUGUGGCGCAAUGGAUAGCGCAUUGGACUUCUAGUGACGAAAGAGCGAUUCAAAGGUUGUGGGUUCGAAUCCCACCAGAGUCG